GUUAACUCACAUAAAAGUUGGCUUAUAUUUGUAUAACAAAAACUGCCCAUCGCUAGAUGGCGCAGCUAGGCGUUGCCUUUAGCAGCUGCUUCCAGUCGUUCCCGAUAGAUGACGCCAGUAAAUUCAUCAGCAUCAAAAGAAACGGAAGCAUGACCUUGGCGAAUUUAUAUAUUUAUAUGAAUUGCUGCUAAGUUUUUAUUCAUUUAUAUUGUAGCUAUAUUUUGAUGUCUUUAGUUCUAAGCAGCGGCGCAAUCAGUAAACAGUAGCUCUCUGGAACAGCAGCUCUACUACAGUCUUAUCUUGUGGAUACUUAUACAACUUGACUUGCUGAUAUCACUUCAACUGUGAGGUCAAUUCAAAAUGGUCUUGAAGUCACAGGAUGGACGCACAAAUGCUACUACAACUAUAGCCGUAUUAAAAUCUUGUCUGUCUAUGAUUAAAAAACUUUAUUAUGUCUCCAAUAAUGUAUCUCUAUUAUAUGAAUAUAUAUAUGUGUA